UUUUUUUUUUGUAUGUACAUGGCCUGACAGAGAGAGUCAAACAGGCCAUUGUUUGUCCUGUUGAUCUACUUGGUGCCACUUAUGACAAGUGUGUGGUUUUGUUUUCAGAGUUGGAGUUGCGUCAGCGCCGCGGUUGCUUGUGUGCGAGUACGCUGCUGCUAACUGUGCAGGACCGCCAGGAACCGCUUGGCAGUGGCGGGGCCACGCUCAACGCACUACUCGUCGCAGCCGAACACCUUAGCAGCCGGGCGGGACACACCGUGGUGACGGCCGACGUUUUGAAUGACGCUCACAUCCUCAUCCUCCACACGGGUCGCGACUUCCCGUGGAGUUCGUGCAGCCGAGCAUUCUCGUGGCUGCCUGUGGAGGAUCCCGCCCUCGGGGUUCAGGCCCCC